rnacentral:other from 1 species
AAAACGGCCAGCCUGAAGAGCUGCUGCGUGAGUUCGUUGCCUUUUCCGAGGGUGACUCCCGCGGUCCCUAAGGCUUUCCAGAGCGAACCUGUGCGGCUGCGGGCACCGCCGCGUUGAGUUUCCGGCGUUCCGAAGGACCGAGCUCUUGUCCCGGAUCCCGUCCUCCGUUUCCAGCCCCGAAUCUCAGAGCGGAGCCGACAGAGAGCAGGGCACCGGCAUGG